UGCAUCUCAAUGUUUCAAAGCAACCAGAAACCAGCAAAUCAAGAAAUGUUACGCCGCAGUCCCAGAUUACUCGCAAAAGGGUACUAUAAUCCCGAGGACCCCACGAUUCAACAGAUCUGCUCUAAGGAGACCCCCAUCAGGAUCUUCAAGAAAAGGGAAGGGAAGUGCGGAGUGGGUGGGGCCUGUCGCAACUUAAUUAGCGAAUUUAAUGUGUGUGAUUUCCAGAGCCUGGAAAAAAAAGAUCCCAUGCUGACAUCUGAAAUAUCUCCUCAGCAUGCUUCCCCACCCACGAUAUGUUUUUUAGUUGUGAGGAAGAUGGUUCUUCUUCCCCUCCUCCUCUGCCUGCUGGCGUUUGGUGUUUGGUUUUGCUACACGAGUGUUACUAAACAGCUGUUUCAGUCUGCAGCAUAUUUGGCACAGGACACAUUCAUACAGAAUCAAGCAGCUCUGAUUGAAGAGUUCAAGUUCCUGAAACUGACGAUAAGACAACAGAGUCUAGAACAAAAGGAAGAGUUCCAGAAACUGGCGAUAAGACAACAGAGGCUAGAACAAAAGGAUGGUGAAGAAUUCAUACGCAGGGCGCUCAGCCAUUUCCGAGCUGAUGGUAUUGGAAUGGCAGAUUACGCGCUGGAGUCUUUAGGCGCCGCUGUGAUAGCCAGUACAGAGACAGAUAAAUCUAAAUACUGCAAAUUGUUCGGCUUCAGUGAAUGGUGCAACAUUAAUAGCCCUGAAAAAGCUAUACAGCCGGAGGUCUUCCCUGGUAAAUGUUGGGGAUUUAAAGGUUCUGAAGGUUACCUUCUCAUCUCUCUGCCCUUCUCUGUACGCAUCACCCACGUGACGCUGGAGCACCUGCCCCGAGUGCUCUCACCCAAUGGCCACACGAGAAGCGCGCCGAGAGACUUUGCAGUUUAUGGAAAGGUUAACAAGAAAGAUGGAGGAAAACUUCUUGGAGAAUUCACUUAUGACCAGGACGGAGAACCGAUCCAGACCUUCGAAAUUCCGAACUCUCCGAGUGAGGCUUAUGAACUGGUGGAGCUGAGGAUCCUCAGUAAUUGGGGUCACCCUGAAUACACCUGUGUGUAUCGCUUUAGGGUCCACAGCCAGCCUGUCUGGUAAAAAAGGAAAGCUACAAUCAAAGAAUGCCGUAAGGACGGAUUGAACUCUCCACGAUCUCCUUCUCCUGCUCCGCUGUGCUGCCCACAGGAACGGGGAUGAGCCAGUAAUCAGUUUUAACUCGCCUUCGAUGCUCGUGCCGUGGAAGGAAACGGGCCACUCACCGGCUGCAGAGUGACUCCUCCAUCUAAUAGGACCAAGCCAUGCGUUUCCACCCGGGUAUUUAUUCCGCACCUUCAGAGCGAAGCGGUACCACCCGACCGGCCGCUUGUACGGCUCACCUCCACGCGAGCACGCUGAGGAAUCUGUCAAGUUUCGGAAAUCAUAACCAAAAUCUGGAUCAAAAAACUCCUCCAUGUCCACGAAUAGCUCGUUCCAUAAUGCAGAGAUUUCACUCUCGCUGGUUUUUAACUUGUUUAGUAACUCAUUCAUAGUCAUCUCCCCGUCACCUUUCAGUGCCGUUGUUAAAGCAGCUGAAAGAAAAUUUUGAACUGUCAGUUUAUUGGCAACUUCCUGCGCUUUUCGGUCAGCAAGAGGUUUAACUGUAGCACCGGUGAGAGCGGAGAGAGCCUCCAACACGACUUCUCUGUCCAUUCCCGGCAUGAUGAAUUCCUGAUUUGAGGCCUGACAGGUUCUGAAGAUCUGUGUUCACACUGAUAGAGUCUACAGCUGUGUGCUCAGAUAUUUAUACGAAUGGAAGUGUCUUACAGUGUGUCAGAAACAUUUCUGAAAUGGGAAUAUCACAUGAGAUGUGAAUACCAGCAUAUAACAUGUCUUGAUUCACACCUGUAUCUUAUUACUGCCAAUCAGACAGAGAGAGGGAGAAAGAGAAAGAGAGAGAGAGAGAGAGAGAGAGAGAGAGAGAGAGAGAGAGAGAGAGAGAGAGCAUGUGAUGUACUGUAGCUGGCAGAGCUUGCGAGACAUGUACGCACACGCACACACACACACUAAACUGAACACCAUCCUACUCCCAUUGCAAUAUUUGCACAUUUCUGUACUUCAGAUAAACUGACAGUUAAAUGAAGAAAUGGUAAUGAAUGAGUGUUAUGUUGUGUGUAGAAGGUGGUGAUGGAACAGAUGGGUGUGACAGCUCUGCUAAAAUGAAAGGAGAAGGAAAAGGUCAGGAAUGUAGCUGUACCAGGUCAUGUUUACACAAACACAUAUUACAUUAAAGUGCUCACACACUUCUCACACACUUCUGAAGGGCCUGGUGAGAUUUACUAUACAGGGUCGAACACUGGUGGACUAAAUUAAUUCACUGAUGGAGUUCAUCAGACCAGAGACUCACUACAGGGCAAGAGACAUUCUCUCAGAAAGGAGAGAGUUUUCUCAGACUUUCAUAAACUUUUUAUUUUAGUAAUUAGUGAACUGAUAAUUAGUGACAAGACUGAAGGAAACCAUCAGUGAUAUAACAGUGGGCAGUGUGGAGCUGUAAUCUACAUGACUGUUUAAACCCAUUUACCUUCAUUCUGGUUUCAGCUUUUAACUCAUGUCUGUUUGCAGUGAGAUUUCUUAUAAUAUUUUAUAACACAUGAAGUGAGAUAAGACCUCAUGUAUUAUAUAAUACUGCUACUGACCUAUAAAGCACCGAACGGUCUCGUGCCACAGUACCUUAGUGAACUUUUGGUCUUUUGUGAUACACCAUGCCUACUUUGAUCAAAAGGUGCAGAAUAUUUGUUGGUACCUCAAACAGUAAAGUCUACUGUAGGGGGAAGAGCUUUCUCUUACAAAGACAGUUAUGGAACAACCUUCCAACUAGUGUUGGGGAUUCAGACACAGUCUCAAUUUUUAAGGCCAGGCUGAAAACAGCCCCCACCCUUUCACACCUUCACCCAGGUUUGUUGAUGGUGGAGUGGUACUCCAGAGAUUCCAGUGAUCCUGACCCCUUCUGCUCUCCAGAACUGCCUGUUCCAUCCUAAUGCCCUACUUCUGGUUCAGUUCUCAUCAAAUGGAAGUUAUAUGCUGCUGCUGAGGAUGUCCCCAUAUGGUGCAGCCUAAAGAUGAUUGAGAUUACUGAGGAUGGUACCACUUUAAAACCAUAAGAUGGCUUUGGACCUCAAUUCAUUUGCACAGUUAUGCUAUGAUAGCUUUAGGACUUUAAUUGCCACAAACAGUUCUGCACUCAAGUCUCCAUCAGUGAACAGUGGAGAAGUUCAACAAAACAGACUUCAUGUAAAAACUGUAAUGAAUUUUCCUGGUUACAAAACUGCACUAUUUGACCAUGUAGUAUUAGAACAUUUAUAGAAGGGAUUAAUUUAUAAUCACCCUAUCCAGUAUCAUCCAGAUGAGGAGUCUGGUUCCUCACCAGGUUUCUUCCUCAUAUUGUCUCAGGGAGUUUUUC